GACGAACGCUGGCGGCGUGCUUAACACAUGCAAGUCGAACGGAAAGGCCCUGCUUUUGUGGGGUGCUCGAGUGGCGAACACGUGAGUAUCACGUGUGUAUCCUGCCCUUGACUGUCGGAUAACUUCACGAAACUGGGGCUAAUAUCGCAUAGGAGCUCCUGCUGCACGGUGGGGGUUGGAGAGUUUCGGCGGUUGUGGAUGGACUCGCUGGUUACCAGCUUGAUGGGGUGGUAGGGGCUUACCAAGGGUUUGACGGGUAGCCGGCCUGAGAGGGUGACCGGCCACAUUGGUACUGAGAUACGGCCCAGACUCCUACGGGAGGCAGCAGUGGGGAAUAUUGCACAAUGGGCGGAAGCCUGAUGCAGCAACGCCGCGUGCGGGAUGACGGCCUACGGGUUGUAAACCGAUUUCGCCUGUGACGAAGCGUGAGUGACGGUAAUGGGUAAAGAAGCACCGGCUAACUACGUG
rnacentral:rRNA from 1 species